AACCUCCGCAAUGUGAGMAAUCGCGACGGGGGGACCCCAAGUGCCAUUCUUAACGGGAUGGCUUUUCUUGAGUGUAAAAAGCUCUUGGAAUAAGAGCUGGGCAAGACCGGUGCCAGCCGCCGCGGUAACACCGGCAGCUCUAGUGGUAGCCAUUUUUAUUGGGCCUAAAGCGUUCGUAGCCGGUUUAAUAAGUCUCUGGUGAAAUCCUACARCUYAACUGUGGGAAUUGCUGGAGAUACUAUUAGACUUGAGGUCGGGAGAGGUUAGAGGUACUCCCAGGGUAGGG
rnacentral:rRNA from 1 species